CUCCUCUAAAUAAAAGCAUGGCUAAAUUCAAGGAAAAUAUAACAGUUUGGGAUUUAAAAGUUACUUAAUGACAAAAUUAUAAGGUAACAUCAAUAUUUAAAGUUCAAAGAACGUUUCCCAAGUGUAAAUACUAUAUUUUUCAAUUAACCAGGUCGAAAGUCCCAUGACAUUGCACAAUUUACGUUUUGAAACAAGGCUCCACGGCCACACUCCCCCCAUCUAGACCAUUGCAAAUACCAAUAAAUGGUCUAUACAAGUCAAUAUAAAUUAAAGAAUGAAAUACACAAUACAUGAAUAUAAAUUUUACAAAAAUAAUUAAUUUAAAUGUUCAAAAUAAAAAGUCUUUCUUCGGAACCAGUUUCAUGACCAUCUCCCCACUUUCCUCCACCAACUCGUAUUCCAUGUCUCUUGGGACGCCCUCACCGUAUUCUACAUAUUCUUGAGGUUGAACAUAUUCCUGUGCGUCCUCAUACACCUCCUCCUCUUCUUGAAUCAUAGCUACCUCUAUGUUAGUACUGUCUUCCCA
rnacentral:lncRNA from 1 species